AAAAAUUUAGUUAAAUUAUAACAUUAGUUUGUCAAGCUAAAGUCAAUACUUAGUAUUAAUUUUUA
rnacentral:tRNA from 1 species